UGGCCCGACCAAGGAAGGUUUCUGCCGUGGGACGUAUGGUUGGCUCAAAUGAGUGCCUUUAGGAUGGACGGACGAAGCCGAUCAUCAUACCUUCAGAUCAAGAAUAGCGAAGACGAUCAUACUAGAGUACCUAUACAUGUGGAAAGCGUGGAGCCAAUCGGGGAGCUGUUAUCCAAGAUGGUCGGAGUUGAUGCUGACCAGGCACGUCUGCACCGUGGGGUUAGUGUAGGAACUGAAUUGAGACAGCUGCUACAGUCCUUGGCUCUUCUCAUGAGGAAAAGGUGGCUUGGUAAUAUUGGACCUGUUAGCUAUAUUUUGUGUAGCCAAUUCGUCGUAAUAUGUUGGUGGAUUUGCUUGUGGCCGUGGGAGUACUUUGAAUAAGGAUUUUAUGUGAAGUCCUAUACUUCACCUUUGAAGAAGUUAUGUCUCUUCUAGCCCUUUAAUGACACACUUUUUGUAACUGUUGAUUGACAUUCCAAUGGCUUUUGUGAACAAUAGAAGAAACCUAGACAUACUAUGUAGCAACUCCUGAACAUUGUUCUUUUAA